CUACACAGAGAAAUACCUGGAAUGGAUCUCAGAAAAAGAACCAGAGUAAAGAAAAAGUUGCUCAUGAUGAUGACGACAACAUAAGGAAAGUUGCAGAGAAGGCCACAUGCGUGCGCUCUGGAGACUGUGAGGCAGGACUGUGCUGCGUCCGCUAUUUAAAAGUGAAAAGAUGUCAACCCAUCCCAAAGGAGGGAGAUGCCUGCCUCCUGUGAGGAGGACGCUCUAAAAAGCGGAGGAAUCUUGAUCGCUGCAACUGUGCACCCGGGCUAAUCUGUCGUGCCCAGGCUGAAAGCCCCAAAAACCAAGGAGUUUGUCAACCUAAACUGAGAGAGAACGGGAGGAGUGCUAGACACUCAGGGCAAGAGAGAAGAUGUAGAUGACUCAAGCCUUUCUUUUACUCAAAACAUUUCACUCAAUAAACUACUUUUGUAACAUUC